GAUCUUGAGUUUCAUGGAGUAAUGAGAUUCUACUUUCAAGACAAAGCAGCUGGAAAUUUUGCAACAAAAUGUAUCCGUGUCUCCAGUACUGCCACAACUCAAGAUGUCAUAGAAACUCUUGCAGAGAAGUUUCGACCAGACAUGCGAAUGUUGUCAUCCCCUAAAUACUCACUUUAUGAAGUGCAUGUCAGCGGAGAAGAAAGAAGAUUAGAUGUGGAUGAGAAACCUCUUGUUGUGCAGUUAAACUGGAACAAAGAUGAUCGCGAGGGAAGGUUUGUCCUCAAGAAUGAAAAUGAUACACUUCCUCCAAAGAAAGCUCAGAGUAAUGGGCCUGAAAAACAAGAAAAAGAGGGAGUAAUUCAGAAUUUCAAGCGAACUCUCUCAAAAAAAGAAAAAAAGGAAAAAAAGAGGCGUGAAAAAGAGGCAUUGCGACAAGCGUCAGAUAAAGAUGACAGACUUCUUCAUGGGGAUGAUAUUGAGAAUUUUCGCCUUGCAGCUGAGGUUUACAAAGAUAUGCCUGAGACCAGCUUCACUCGCACAAUAUCCAAUCCUGAGGUGGUUAUGAAACGGCGACGACAGCAAAAACUAGAGAAGAGAAUGCAGGAGUUUCGCAGUUCUGAUGGCAGGCCAGACUCAGGUGGGACGCUGAGAAUUUAUGCAGACAGUUUAAAACCAAAUAUACCGUACAAGACAAUCCUGCUGUCCACUACAGAUACUGCAGACUUUGCAGUUAUUGAAGCGCUGGAAAAAUAUGGCCUGGAAAAAGAAAAUCCCAAGGAUUAUUGUAUUGCUCGUGUCAUGCUGCCUCCUGGUGCUCAGCACUCCGAUGAUAAAGGUGCUAAAGAAACUAUUCUUGAUGAUGAUGAGUGUCCACUGCAGAUAUUCAGGGAGUGGCCUAGUGAUAAAGGAAUACUGGUGUUUCAGUUGAAAAGGCGGCCUCCUGAUUAUGUCCCAAAGAAAACCAGGAAGAUCGCUGAUGGAAAGCCAUUGAAGGGGAAGGAAAGAGUUGACGGGUCUGGCUAUGGCUCUUGCCUUCCUCCUGAGAAACUACCAUACCUGGUAGAAUUAAGCCCAGGGAGAAGGAAUCACUUUGCCUGCUACAACUAUCACACUUACGAAGAUGGUUCUGACUCCAGAGAUAAGCCAAAGCUCUAUCGCCUACAAUUAAGUGUCACUGAAGUUGGAACUGAAAAAUUUGAUGACAAUUCGAUUCAGUUAUUUGGUCCAGGAAUUCAGCCUCAUCACUGUGACCUCACUAAUAUGGAUGGUGUUGUUACUGUAACCCCAAGAAGCAUUGAUGCUGAAACCUAUGUGGAAGGUCAGCGUAUUUCAGAAACCACCAUGCUGCAAAGUGGAAUGAAGGUUCAGUUUGGGUCUUCCCAUGUAUUUAAGUUUGUGGAUCCUACUCAGGACCAUAUUAUUUCCAAAAGAUCUACUGAUGCAAGUCUUAUGGUAAAAGGUCCAAGACACAAAACUGGAACUGUCCAGGAAACCACAUUUGAUCUGGAGGGAGAUAUUCACAGUGGAACAGCAUUACCAGUAAGCAAGAGCACCAGCAGGCUGGACGGUGACAGAGCAUCAUCCGCAUCCAGCACGGCCGAGCGAGGAAUGGUGAAGCCGAUGAUUCGGAUAGACCAGCAGGAUUACCGCCGACAGGACAGCAGAUCUCAGGAUACCCAUGGACCAGAACUGAUACUGCCUGCCAGUAUUGAAUUCAGGGAAAGCUCUGAAGAUGCCUUCUUAUCUGCCAUUAUAAAUUACACAAAUAGCUCGACAGUUCAUUUUAAGCUGUCACCAACAUAUGUUUUGUAUAUGACAUGUCGGUAUGUAUUGUCCAGCCAAUACAGACCUGACAUCACUCCUGCUGAGCGUACUCACAAAGUCAUUGCAAUAGUCAACAAGAUGGUGAACAUGAUGGAAGGAGUGAUACAGGAGGUAGACCAGGUUGAUCAGAAACAGAAGAAUAUUGCUGGGGCCCUUGCCUUUUGGAUGGCAAAUGCAUCUGAACUACUCAAUUUCAUAAAGCAAGACAGAGAUCUUAGCCGAAUUACUGUGGAUGCACAAGAUGUUUUGGCACACUUGGUUCAAAUGGCAUUCAAGUACCUGGUUCAUUGUCUGCAGUCAGAGCUUAAUAACUACAUGCCAGCAUUCCUGGAUGAUCCAGAGGAAAAUAAUCCUCAGAGGCCUAAAAUAGAUGAUGUGCUGCAUACCUUGACUGGAGCCAUGUCCCUGUUGCGGCGAUGCAGAGUAAAUGCUGCUCUCACCAUACAGCUCUUCUCCCAGCUCUUUCAUUUUAUCAACAUGUGGCUUUUUAACAGAUUAGUUACAGCCCCAGAUUCAGGGUUAUGUUCACAUUACUGGGGAGCUAUCAUGCGCCAACAGCUUGGCCACAUUGAAGCCUGGGCAGAAAAACAGGGUUUGGAAUUGGCUGCUGAUUGCCACCUGAGCAGAAUAGUACAGGCAACCACAUUGCUUACCAUGGACAAAUACUCACAUGCAGAUGUUCCAAAUAUUAACAGUACUUGUUUUAAGCUGAAUUCUCUGCAGCUACAAGCCUUGUUGCAGAAUUAUCACUGUGCUCCAGAUGAACCACUCAUCCCAACAGAAUUGAUAGAGAAUGUAGUCACCGUUGCAGAAAAUACAGCUGAUGAACUUGCUCGCAGCGAUGGCCGAGAAGUCCAGCUGGAAGAGGAUCCUGACUUACAGCUACCUUUUCUCUUACCAGAAGAUGGCUAUUCCUGUGAUGUUGUCAGAAAUGUUCCAAGUGGUUUACAAGAAUUUUUAGAUCCACUCUGUCAAAGAGGCUUUUGUAGACUAAUACCUCAUCCACGGUCACCAGGCACAUGGACAAUAUACUUUGAAGGUGCAGAUUACGAAAGUCACCUGUCCCAUGAGAAUGCUGAGCUGGCUCAGCCUUUGAGAAAAGAACCUGAAAUUAUCACUGUAACACUAAAAAAACAAAAUGGAAUGGGACUCAGCAUUGUUGCUGCCAAGGGUGCUGGUCAAGACAAACUUGGAAUAUAUGUCAAGUCUGUUGUGAAAGGAGGUGCUGCAGAUGUGGAUGGUCGUCUGGCCGCAGGGGAUCAGUUGCUUAGUGUGGAUGGUCGAAGUUUGGUGGGCCUGUCCCAGGAGAGGGCAGCAGAACUUAUGACUAGGACAGGUUCUGUAGUAACACUAGAAGUAGCAAAACAAGGAGCAAUUUACCAUGGCCUGGCAACCCUGCUUAAUCAGCCAUCCCCAAUGAUGCAAAGAGUUUUUGACCGCCGUGGCUCAGGUAAACCCCGACCAAAGAGUGAAGGUUUUGAGCUGUACAACAAUUCCACGCAAAAUGGAUCACCUGAGAGUCCCCAGCUGCCCUGGACGGAGUACAGUGAACCAAAGAAGCUGCCAGGGGAUGACAGACUGAUGAAGAACAGGGCUGAUCAUCGUUCCAGUCCCAAUGUAGCAAAUCAGCCUCCAAGCCCUGGGGGAAAGAAUGCUUAUGCAUCUGGAACUACUACCAAAAUAACCUCAGUCUCUACUGGAAAUCUUUGUACAGAGGAGCAGAUUCUGCCACCACGACCUGAAGCUUAUCCUAUCCCAACACAGACCUAUACUAGAGAAUAUUUCACAUUUCCAGCUUCAAAGUCACAGGAUCGAAUGGGUCCAGCUCAGAGUCAGUGGCCAAGUUAUGAAGAAAAACCACAGCUUCAGGCAGAAAGUAAUAAUUCUAUCAAUACUACCAUGCAGCGUGUAGCUCGUUCUCAGGAAGAGCUCAGAGACAAAGUUUUCCAGCCAGAGAGGAAUCGUUUGGAAGUUGUUAUACGCAAGGAUGUGGAGUACAUUGAUCGGAAGUCAGACAGCGAUCAGUGGAUGAAUUCAUCUGUGGAUUCCAGCACAUCUAGCCAGGAACAUCUGAACCAUUCCUCCAAACCAGUGUCGCCUGGUUCUUGUUUAGCUAAAAGUGGACCUGGCCGUUGGAAGACUCCAGCCACUAGCCAGCCGACUCCAGUGGCCAUUUCCCAGCCCAUCAGAACAGAUCUUCCCCCUCCGCCGCCACCUCCUCCAGUGCAUUAUGCUGCUGAAUUUGAUGAACUACAAAUGGAUUUGCCUCUGCCUCCACCUCCUCCUCCAAACCAGAUAGGAGCACAAGCAUCCUCCCAGGUAGCUGCUGCUGAGCGUAAAAAAAGAGAAGAGCAUCAGAGGUGGUAUGAAAAGGAAAAGGCACGUUUGGAAGAAGAACGAGAAAGGAAACGUCGUGAGCAGGAGAGAAAAUUGGGCCAAAUGCGUUCUCAGACACUAAUUCCUACUCAGCCCAUGGUUCCUCCUGUCUCCCUUCAACAAGUGAAAUCAGAAAAGCCCUCAACUUUGCAGAGGCCUCAAGAAACAGUUAUUCGAGAGCUGCAGCCCCAACAGCAGCCGCGGACUAUUGAGCGGAGAGACCUGCAGUACAUUACCAUCAGCAAGGAAGAGCUGUCCUCUGGUGACAGCCUCUCUCCAGAUCCGUGGAAACGGGAUGCGAAGGAGAAGCUGGAAAAGCAGCAACAGAUGCACAUCGUGGACAUGCUGAGUAAAGAGAUUCAGGACCUUCAGAACAAACCUGAUCGUACAGCAGAAGAAAACGACCGCCUCCGCAAACUCAUGCUUGAGUGGCAGUUCCAAAAGCGACUGCAAGAAUCAAAGCAAAAGGAUGAGGAUGAUGAUGAAGAAGAGGAUGAUGAGGUGGAUACUAUGCUCAUCAUGCAGCGACUGGAGGCAGAAAGAAGAGCAAGGCAGACUGCUGUGCCAGCAAUCUCUGUUCUAGAUUUGUUACAGGAUGAAGAACGCAGACGGCAGCAACAAUUGGAAGAAAUGCGGAAACGAGAAGCAGAAGACCGGGCCAGGCAGGAAGAGGAGCGCAGACAGCAAGAGGAGGAGCGGACCAGGAGAGAGGCUGAAGAAAAGAGGCGCCAGGAAGAGGAGUAUUACAGUCGCUUAGAGGCUGAAAGGCGCAGGCAGCACGAUGAAGCUGAGCGAAGAUUGCUGGAACCUGACGAGCCUGGUCUGUACAGACCUCCGCUUCCACGGGAAUAUGAACUCCCAUCCCCAACCCCUUCAUCUAACGCUCCUCCUCCCCCACCUCAGCGAAACACCUCUUACCUCAAAACACAGGUCCUCUCCCCUGACACGAUUUAUACUGCCAAGUUUGUUGCUUACAAUGAUGAUGAUGAUGAGGAGGAGGAUUCCAAUCUAGCAGGUCAGGAUAAGUACUCCAGCACAAGAAAAUCCUAUGGUGACUUUCCUCCUGCCACCCUUAAGCCACAGCAGCCCUCCCGCCAGCCUCGCCCAGUUUCAGAUGGCAUCUUUCUUUCCAACUCAUUCCAGUCAUCUUCUGUCAAUGCCAACAGUACUACUGUCAAAAAAAGCCAGCCCCCGCCCCCAUCAAACAAACCAAGUUUCGUCCAUGCCAGCAGCUCUAAAGGUAGAAACAAUGAAAUAAGUCAUCUCUUCAAAACUGUCCUUGUAUUUUCAACUCCAGGGUUCUAGAUUUAAUCACUUAUUUUGUGAUUUCCCCCUCCCUUAAUCACUAUUUUCACUCUGGUGAUCUACCUUAAAUCUUGAUCUUAAUAUGAAUCCUUCAAUUUUUAAUUAUUUUGAUCUCUCAAAUUUUCUUGCUCUUUACCCAAACUUUUCAAAAGCAAAAAUUCCAUCUUUCAUGUAUGAAUCAGAAAUUAUUUUAACUGCUACUCAAUCAGUUUGAAGUACUGUUGGUUUUGGCUUUCACUCUGUAUCUUUAAGUGAUUUGUUUUGUAUGACUGCUGUUUACUCAGAGCAUCUGGAAGUGCACCUUUCUUGAACACAGGAAAUCUCUCCUAAUGGGUUCAUGGACAGAUCUUAUCUUCUGCUUUGUUGUUGGUACCAGGGUUCUCUCUCUUUUAAUAGUGUGUGCAAAUGGCUUUAAAAUUUGUAUUUGUAGAUGUAGAUCUUAAAUACACAAGCACCAAGGGAAAUACAGGUCUUGCAGUUAGUUUCAUGUAUUAGGCACCAUUCCUGAAUUUCUGGUUUGUACAGUGCAGUUUCCUUGCAGAGAGACAAAAAUCUAAAUUUCAUCUUAGUACUGUUUUACUCCUUCCCUUCUAUACCUCUAUGUUUCUUUGACUCCUCGUCUUGUUGUUGUUGUAUAACUCCAAGCUAACCAUAAUGAAGUUUAAUUUCAGUUAGAGUUCUAGCUGCCAGGAACUUCAGCACCAUAUUUUACCUGCAGAGUACUAGUUGAACUAUACUCUUGAAUCCAAAGCUAAUUCAGUCCAAAGUCUGGGGAUAUUUUUUAAACUGAUGCUGUAUAGGAGUAAUCUUGUAUACUUGACUAUUUGAGUAUGUCUCACUCUGACAAGAUUGCACUUUAUUGAUACAAUACUUAGUCUUUAAAUGGCGGCAUCUGCUGGUGCUUCUACAUUUUUUUUCUUCUAUGUUCUUUUGAAGGUGGUGGCCAUGACAUUCUCAUAGUUUAUUCUUUUUACUUACACUGGCAGUUAACAAGUGCCUGACAACCAACUCUAUGUGAUCAAUUAAUCCUUCUAAAAUGAAAAAGGUAGCAAGUCACCUGAGAUCCCAAGGGAAGGUGUUUAUGCUGGCUUCUAGCUGAAUGGCCAGCUUGUUUGCUGGACUCAAGUGGCACAGAUGGAAUCCUGUAGUGUGUUACAUCCCUCAUCACUUUUUUUGGCUACCUAACAAAUUAGGAAAUCACUCACUUGCUUUAUUCAGCAGUGUGCCCUGGGCAUUGGGAAGAUAUGAGCCUCCAAAUAGGUUCCAUCUAUUAGAAGCAGUUCUAAUCCAGCUGCAAUAAUAUGUGACUCUGAUUUAGGAUAUAUACAAAGCUACUGAACUGCUUGUCCACAUCCUGUUCAGUUGAGGCUCAAGUCAUCAUUUUCCAGCAAUGAAAAUUAGCAUUCUUUCCUUUGCAGGGCUGAUAAGCUUCUGCUACCAUUGAACUGCUUCCAGUGCUGAAGAGAAGCUCUGCACUGUAUUGUGUAGUUUUUAAUAUUACUGAAGGACAGUUUAGCUCAGUUAUAAUUACUGUCCCACUGGUGCAGUUGAUGAUCAGUAGUUCCACUGUUUGUGGUCAGCACAACACCCAAGUUGCAUUAAAAAAGUAUCUACAGUGAUUCUCCUGUAAAGUCAGGGGAAGCCUGAUAAUUUAUGCUGGUGUUGCAUGUGAGAUCUCAGGAUCUAGUCGUCUCUGUGGUAAUAGCCUCUCUUCUGCAAACCCACUGUCACUCCUCUCUAACUCUGUAAUAGGUUCUGAAUCUUAAAGGAAAGUGAGGAAAGGUUUUAGCUUUUCAGUGUGUUUUCAUUAAACUGGAGUAUAAUUCUGGACGCUACAUGCUGUGUACUACCAUAAUGCUUACUACCAUGCACCUGAAAUAACUGAUAAACCCACAGCCAAUUUUGUACCAGAAGAGCUUCAGCUUUUGAACACCAGAUAUCACAAAGAAUUAAAAAUAUUCUGAAAUGGCAGGCUUCUGACAUGAAACAUGGGUACUUUAUGUCUGUACUUAAUUUUUUUUCUUUCAAAGGACUUUCUAGGAAUUCUUAUUUGAAAUUGACUGUAAUAAAAAGUAAAAUGUGCCUUCCAUCACAGCAUGUAGGCUUGCAAAAACUGUUGCUUCCCUUCCCUAUUUGGCACUUAGAAGGCUGCACAUGUAAUCAGUUAGGCAACCCUAGAGCCAUCAGUCACUAGUUGUCACCACCACUCUCCCUGGCUCCCAUCAUCCACAACCCAGAAUGCUAUUUAGUAUAUAAUUGCAUUUCUAAUCCUGCUUUCUGUUAAUAUUAAUUGAAAAAUUAAUCUCAGGAAAGUGAAAUGUUCAGUGGUAUUGUUUGUGCACAUUUGUUUUUUGUGGAAAACAAUCAAAGGACAAUUUACAAAGAUUUGGUUAGGGUUUUGGUAACAAUUAAGGAAUAUUGUAGUAUGAUGCUUCGCCUUUAAUAGCCUAAUUCAUAAGCCAUACAACUAAUUAUGAAUACUCUUAUUUCAUAAUUUUUAAAAUAGCCAUGAGAACAGGUUAACUUCACUUGAUUGCUCAAGCUUCUCUGAAGACUGCCUGCGUAACGUACAAAGCCGUUUGCACAAAAUGCAGAAUUCACUGUGCAGUUUGACCAUCUCCCAUCUCGCUAACUCUGUUACAUUCCUGUCCUUUACAGCUCUUUCCUGUUCUGAGUGUUAACUCUAGUGAACCAUGCUUCUGCAAAUUUUGCUCUCGUGCUUUCUUCCACUGGGUCUUUAAAGACCAUUGGGUCUGUCAGCUCACCAAGGAAAAAGUCAACACCCAAAUGAAAAACACUAUCUAAAUGCAAAUGAAACCUUGUGGAUCCAGCCACAAGCUUUUCAAAGUAGGGAAGGCAGUACUUACAGGAAUGUAAGACUCACAACUAAGAGGAAAAAAAAAAUCUUUAUAUGCCUGGCAUACCUAGUAUGAUUUGGUUUGCUGCAAAUUUUUGAUGGAAAAAAUUUGUCCUACAACACAUUAGCUAAAUUGGCUUAUGGGUUCUAGCCUCAAUCACAAUUACUGAAUAUUUCUGAGAAGUUAGAUGUACCAGUGGAAGAAGCAAACAUCUCCUUUUGUACCAAAGAAGGUUCACAAGACAUAACAUGAACAAUAUUGAGAUCAGAACUGUCUGAAGACAAAUCUGAGUAGUUUGCUACACUUCUUUUUACUCUUUUCAUGACAGUUAUUAAGAGAAUAUGGUCUUAAAUAUAAAUUAAAUUAUUAAGCUUCUGAUUGGAAAUAAAAGGUUUUGUCUUGUGGCCUUUACAAGGAAUUAAUAUAAUGUGUAAAACCUGUGUGUUAUAUCAACUUAAAGGUGCAGUGCUGCAGGACUUGAAAUUUAAAUUCAGAGGCAGGAGGGAGGGGCCAUCUCAGUGAUACAGUUUGUGUAUCAGACUUAGCAGCGACUAAAAUUUUGAUUCUGCUGAAUUGCAAAGAUGGGAUACGCUAAUCUUUGCUUACUUUUAGCCUCAGAAAGAGGAGCUACAGCUAAUUUACUUCCUGUGAAGUUUGUCACAGGAUAAUGAAGAGUGUUGCUCUUUCUGUUGAUCUUCUUGAACAGCUUCUAGUAUCUGCUUUACAAUAAGGCUUAAUAAGAUAAAAGACCAUGAUUUGGCAUGUGCUGGACAAUCUGAACAAAAUGGGUUUUGACUCAAAAUUAGGAAUCAAAAAAAUAGCCCAUUUGAAGAGGGUUUGAAUUUAAUAGUACUGGGAUUAAAUAUUCUAGAGAUCACAUGACCUCUGAUUAUUUAUGAUUCUCAUUUGAAUUGUUUCUUGAAAGAAGCACUGCACCUUUUUGAAGGAAUACAGUAUAAAACUUCUGUGUUGUUGCUGCUGUACUUAAACCUACUUCUUUCUUUUGCAUAAGGAAUAAAUUCAUACACUGGAUCUACAGGAGCUGCUGCUGGGGAAGUUUAUCGGGAUCCAAGAGACAAAAGAUCUAAAAGUCAAGAUGCAGAUUUACCUGGAGCACCAGAAAACCUGACGUUCAAGGAACGCCAGCGACUUUUUUCACAGGGUCAGGAUGUAUCCAAUAAAGUAAAAGCUUCUAGGAAACUAACGGAACUGGAAAAUGAGUUGAACACAAAAUAAAAUUAAAGCACCUUAUCAGAUGUAAUGGAUGAUCUCCAAAUUGAGGGAUUGAGAUUGGGGGCACACUACUAAGUAUGAACAGAAAAUGAAUGUUUUCUGAAAGGAGUGACUUUGAUUCCUCUAUAUCUAAGACUGUUAAUUAAGACUUAGAGAUGUUGCAAUAGCAAGAAAACUGAUUACUUUGCCAGGAGCUUGUGGUUUAUACAAUGAAAGCACUGUAAAUUUUUAAAGAUGCGAAUCACGUGAAGGUAACUUUUUUUCUGUUUUGGGGGUAAAGUUCUUUUGCACCAGACCAAGUAGCACUUGUCAAAGAUAAGUUCUGUUUCCUGGUGUUUUACAGACACACUUUUGUUUUAGCUGCUGAGCAGAGAGAGUGAGAAUAGCUUGAACUGCCUAAACUAAACUGUGCACUAGAAGUUAGUAUUUUAGGUUGUUUGACAAGAAGCCAAUGUCUGGGCCACCUUAAAUAAGGUUUCAUAUGCAAGUGUGACAUACUGUAUGGUGUUCAUAGAAGAAUCAGUAUAUCAAUACAGAUCUUACCAUUACUUAGUACUGGCAUAACAUUCUCUAGACACAUUCUCUAGAUAGAAUCUUGGAAUAAAAAUGUCUCUAUUCCUCUGUAUUUGUUUGGUCUAAAAUGGAUGCCUAAGAUUUUAUCUGUAGUUAUGGAAAAGUCUACGUUCUUGUAUCCCCACUAUAUGUGCUUCAGACUUUGAAAAAAUGUGAAGAUAACAACCUUUGGAUAACUGUUUCACUAAAAAUUACAUAAGCAAUAGAUAGUAGGCUACACUUAGUGGCCCUUCAUCAGCUAGGACCAAAAUGUUAGUAGUGUGUUAAAGGCAAGGAUUACAGAAGGUGAGCAGAACACGUGGGUAUGUCUUCUGAGAAAUUCAUAUCAGAAGUGAUAGGGCAAUUAGGCCUGGUACAGCAUUGAUAAGUCUGUUAUUAUCAGUUCAGCAAUAGAUUUUUUUCCUAUGGAGAUAUCAGCGGGCAUAUUGAGAAGAAGACUGAAGUGCAAAGCAUCAAAUACAGUACUGCAGUCUGGAAGUGGGAACAUUCGUAAGGUCAUUACCAGAGCUGGUGUGCUAGCAAGGAACCAUCCCUGCUCAUGCUGAGGAGCAGUGCUAGUGAGCUCCCAUUCCGUCUAGCUGGCUUUACUGACAUCCUAUUAUGGUUGUACUGAAAGCCUUUUUGGCAGUUCAAGCUAUUUUUUCACACUGUUAUAGCCUUAUUUAAUUUUUAAUUGUUAAUCUUUUUUCCUCCCACUAUUUCCUCAGCUAUGCUUAUGUGGCUGAUGAUGUUGGGAAUAAGGACCUCAUCAGAGUCUUUCUCAUUGUGUGAUGUUAAGACAAUAUAUAUUGUGAUUCCAAACAAAUUUUCUAUUUGACAAAGCCCUUUACUGGCUUUAGAUGAUUUUUUUUUCCCUGUAUCAUAUUGUUCUCUUAUAAAUAUAUAUUUAGGGAUUUGUGCACACUUCCAAAUACAAAGGGGUAGACUUUCACUGCCUUAGGAAUGAAAUCACUUUUAAUAAGAGUUGUAUGAUAAAUUAAUGCAGGUUAAUGAAAAUUGGAGUGUAAAUAUUUUUUACGUAUUUCAGGUUUCUUAUUUGAAAGUGUGCUUUUACCGUUUCACCUGUUAAAUAUGAAGUAGAAGAUUAAACUGGUUCAAAGUGUUAAUGAAGGAUCUGCAUGCUUGCUAUGUCUGUUCAUCAGCAAAAGCAAGCCUCUCCCAAUUUAUCUUGAGAACACUAGCAGCCUUACAGUGACACAUUUUUCUUGAAGAAAAAAACUUAUGCUGUGGCUGAAUUACUGUUGCUGCUAGACUCUGAAAAAGGCUUAGCAAAAAAAUACCUAUAACCUUCAGUUGAGUGGAUUUGGCCGCUAUUGGGCAUUCAGGUCAAGUGUGAAUAUGUGUAAAAGUGCUUUUCAUAUUUGUCUGUGCAUUAUUUGAAAAAAAAAAAAAACAAACAUCAAAACUGCUGUAGUUUCCCAUUUCUACUGUAUUUCACUUGCAACCUAUUUUUAAUAAAGUUUGUAUUGUAUUUAACUUUGCA